UGAGUAACGCGUGAGCAACCUGCCUUACAGGGGAUAACACAGCGAAAGUUGUACUAAUACCGCAUGAGACCACGGUGAGACAUCUCGACAGGGGUCAAAGGAGCAAUCCGGUAAGGGUGGGCUCGCGUCCGAUUAGAUAGUUGGUGAGGUAACGGCCCACCAAGUCAACGAUCGGUAGCCGACCUGAGAGGUGAUCGGCCACAUUGGGACUGAGACACGGCCCAAACUCCUACGGGAGGCAGCAGUGGGGAAUAUUGGGCAAAUGGGGGGAACCCUGACCCAGCAACGCCGCGUGAGGGAAGAAGGUUUUCGGAUCGUAAACCUCUGUCCUUGGUGAAGAGGAAGAGACGGUAGCCAAGGAGGAAGCCCCGGCUAACUACGUGCCAGCCGCGGC
rnacentral:rRNA from 1 species